GACGAAGGUGGCGAGCGUUGUUCGGUGUCACUGGGCUUAAAGGGUGUGUAGGCGGGAAAGUAUGCGUUUUGUGAAAUCCCCCGGCUUAACCGGGGAAUUGCUUGACGAACUGCUUUUCUUGAGGCAAGUAGGGGUACAUGGAACUCUUGGUGGAGCGGUGGAAUGCGUAGAUAUCAAGAGGAACGCCGAUGGUGAAAACAGUGUACUGGGCUUGUCCUGACGCUGAAACACGAAAGCGUGGGGAG
rnacentral:rRNA from 1 species